GACGAACGCUGGCGGCGUGCUUAACACAUGCAAGUCGAACGGAAAGGCCCUGCUCUUGCGGGGUGCUCGAGUGGCGAACGGGUGAGUAACACGUGAGUAACCUGCCCUUGACUUUGGGAUAACUUCAGGAAACUGGGGCUAAUAUCGGAUAGGAGCUCCUGCUGCAUGGUGGGGGUUGGAAAGUUUCGGCGGUUGGGGAUGGACUCGCGGGUUAUCAGCUUGUUGGUGGGGUAGUGGCUUACCAAGCCUUUGACGGGUAGCCGGCCUGGGAGGGUGACCGGCCACAUUGGGACUGAGAGACGGCCCAGACGCCUACGGGAGGCAGCAGUGGGGAAUAUGGCACAAUAGGCGGAAGCCUGAUGCAGCAGCGCCGCGUGCGGGAUGACGGCCUUCGGGUUGUAAACCGCUUUGGCCUGUGACGAAGCGUGAGUGACGGUAAUGGGUAAAGAAGCACCGGCUAACUACGUG
rnacentral:rRNA from 1 species